rnacentral:snoRNA from 2 species
CCCCUCUCAGGAUCGCACCUGGAGAGUUUCCAGUUCUCUACCAGCGUCGGCUAUGGGAGGAAGAGUCAAGCAGGGACUUACCCAUUCCAUUCCUAACGUGGGCAGUGGCUAGCAAGCGGAAGGCAAUCUGCUACAAGU